AUUGAACGCUGGCGGAAUGCUUUACACAUGCAAGUCGAACGGCAGCACGGACUUCGGUCUGGUGGCGAGUGGCGAACGGGUGAGUAAUGUAUCGGAACGUGCCCAGUCGUGGGGGAUAACGUAGUGAAAAUUACGCUAAUACCGCAUACGAUCUAUGGAUGAAAGCGGGGGAUCGCAAGACCUCGCGCGAUUGGAGCGGCCGAUAUCAGAUUAGGUAGUUGGUGGGGUAAAGGCCCACCAAGCCAACGAUUUGUAGCUGGUCUGAGAGGACGACCAGCCACACUGGAACUGAGCCACGGUCCAGACUCCUACGGGAGGCAGCAGUGGGGAAUUUUGGACAAUGGGCGAAAGCCUGAUCCAGCCAUUCCGCGUGCAGGAUGAAGGCCCUCGGGUUGUAAACUGCUUUUGUACAGAACGAAAAGGUUUCUACUAAUACUAGGAGCUCAUGACGGUACUGUAAGAAUAAGCACCGGCUAACUACGUGCCAGCCGCCGCGGUAA
rnacentral:rRNA from 1 species